CUUGUACUCCUUCCGUUCGGAAUUACUUGUCGCAGAAAUGGAUGUAUCUAGACGUAUUUUAGUUCUAGAUACAUCCAUUUUCGAGAUAAGUAAUUCCGAACGGAAAGACUACAUA
rnacentral:pre_miRNA from 1 species